AUGUAUAGCAUCAAGGUUGAUGUUAGUGCGGAACUGCAUGAGCUCCUAGUGAACGAAGAGAUCUUUUGGUUGCAGCAGUCUCAUGAAAGAUGGCUACUGAAAGGAGAUCUUAAUACUGACUACUAUCAUAAGAUUGCGAACGGGCGUAAGAGGAAAAACACGAUCCAUUCCCUGAAAGCUGGGGAUGUGAAAAUAGAAGGGACUAAUAAUCUGAUUGCCCAUGCGACAGAGUUCUACAAAAACCUUUUCGGUCCAGCACCCGGCAAUGAGUUCCAUAUGGAUCCUGAUACUUGGACCACUAAUGAAAAACUUGAUGAAGAGGAUAACGCUGAUCUGUGUCGGGCCUUUACGGAGACAGAAGUUAAGGAAGCUCUGUUUGCUAUGGCACACAAUAGAGCACCUGGGCCGGACAACAUUCCUGUGGAGUUCUAUCACGUGUGCUGGGAUAUCAUGAAGGAUGAUAUUAUGCUCCUGUUUGAACACUUUCAUAAAGGGGAACUGGAUGUACAACGCCUCAAUUAUGGUGUGAUUACUCUCCUCCCCAAAACUGCGGACGCAGACAAGAUUCAGCAGUUCCGCCCGAUUUGCCUCCUGAGGUGUCCGUACAAACUUAUUACUAAGGUCCUAGAUAGGUGA
rnacentral:rRNA from 1 species